rnacentral:lncRNA from 1 species
UCUUUUUUUUUUUUUUUUUUUUACAUUUUUAUUUAUUUAUUUGAGAGCCCAAGAUAGCACAAGCUGGGGAAGGGGCAGAGGGAGAACAGACUCUCUGCUCAGCGGGGAGAUACGUUUUUCUUUUCAAGGCCCCACAUAGCAGCACCCCAUAUCCUCCCAGACACGCCCAUGUAAAUUUUAAACAUAUAUUAUCAAACCCUACUGUUCAUUUGUCUUUUCACCAGGGAGAGAAGAAAAAAAAAUCACAUACCUAAGUCAUAGAUUAUUAUUAGUAAUGUGAUUUAUAGAGUCCUUUGUGCUGCCAAAAACUGGGUUGUUUUUGUUUGGAAUGAGUGGAAAGUGUCUCCUGGUUGUGCAGAAUAGCUACAACAACAACAAAAAGCUUAUCUUGUAAUUUUGCAGUUAACAAAGUUAAGACCAUUAAUUAAUUCUUCAAGGAUCUAAUGGUCUAAAUGUUAAGCAUUAGGAAUAUGUGUAUUUCUAGAAGCAUACAGUGCUCUUCUUAAAUGAUACAGCACACAACUUAAUCAGAGCAGCUAGACUUGUACACAUCUAAGAGGUGUAAUUAAGAGGACUGGCAUUGGAAUCAAAUGACUCUGGCUGUAGGGCCAUGGACAAGAUAGUUAAUCUCCAUGAAUUUCAGUUUCUGCAUAUAUAAAAUAGGAAUAGUAGCGCUUAUCUUUUGGGGUUGCCACAUGACUCAAAAAUAAUAACCGUAAAGUUAUUAACCAGCAGUAAAUGUUGAGCGAUGCAUAGCUUGAGAGAAGAGAAAGAGAGAACCAAGCUGUAUCCACUGGAAAAUGCUUUUAGGGGCAAGUAAUGGAAAUUUCACCUAUUAAUGGUUUAAGCAAUAAUUCUUCACAAAGCAGAAAUUGUAAAGGAGGUAGUUUCCUGACUCAAUGACACGAUGAUGUCAUCACAGACUCAAGCUCUUUCAUUGUUUCUGGGCUCCACUAUCCUCAGUGUGUUGACUUCUAAUGUUCACACUUGUUGCUUUUAUUUCUUUUCUUUUCUUUCCCCUCUGUACCUGUUGAUCACCCUGCCCCGGUCCUCCCACCAUGUCCUCUGCACUCUGGCAACCACCAAUCUAUUCUUUCGAUGAGUUUCAAUUUUUUUUUUAGAUACUACAUAAAAGAGAAACCAUACAGAAUUUGUUUUUUCUCUGACUUAUUUCACUGUUGCUUUCUGAGGCCAGGAUACUCAGUUACAAGAAUUAUUUUUUAUUUAAAAAAAGAUUUUAUUUAUUUAUUCAUGAGAGACACAGAGAAAGGCAGAGACAUAGACAGAGGGAGAAGCAGGCUCCCUGCAGAUCUGCCUGAUGUGGGACACGAUCCCGGGACCCCGGAUCACGCCCUGAGCCUAAAGCAGACACUCGACCACUGAGCCAACCCAGGCGUCCCAGUUACAAGAUUUAUAUCAGAGUUUAGGACUAGGAGAAUGGAGAAAGGGAUGAAAUUCACCAUUUCCACCCAAUAGAACUCUGUCCUUUUAUCCCAGAUGGAAAUGACCUAGCAGGACUUCUAUUUCAGUGCCUGGAGCUGGGUUACAAGGCCACCCUGAGAAUCAGAAGACCAUCAAACAUAAUGUUAAUCAUGGCAUUUGCAUUUAAUUAUUUUUUCAGGACUCUGGAAAAAUUAAAGGUCACUUGGCAAAUAUGCUUCCAUCUCACGGUAGAGAUUUAAUCUGCAAUUUAAACUAAUCUGUUUUAAAACUUAAAAUAACUGCAGUAAGCUAAAACUUAAAAUACUUGUAGUAUUCAAGGUGGCGGAUCUCAAUCUUGGCCACACGUCAGAAUCACCUGUAGCGUAAAACGAAACAAAACAGUAAUGCUGAUUUAAUUAGUCUGAAGUGGGGCCUGGGCAUUGUGGAUUUGGAACAUUUCCCACACUACCAUGUAGCUAAAACUAGAGCCACUUGUUUAAAGAAUGGAUUUCUAGUUGUUGAUUUGAUUUUCUAGUUAACUGAGGAUUAAACCUUAGAACUCCUUUUGUGCCACCAGAAUUAAAGAAUUAAAUGUAUAAUACGUUUGUCUCUGUGAGUAGAAUGUCUUGGACAUAACUAUAUCUUUCUUUGCUGCUUGAGGUCUCUAUUAGUUAUUUAGUGUUAAGAUAUAUUGAAAAUCAUUUAAAUUUGAAAUACAUACUUUCAAACGUAUUUUGAAAAAUGUUUGCUUUUUUCUUCAGUUCCUCAUGAUUUUGUGCAAUCUUUCUUUUUCAUAAAAAUAAAGUGUUAGGUGUUAGCUCCCACACAUCUCCCCUUUCCUAAAAUCAGUUCUUUAGAGUUUUAAUUAAUGGAUUUUUAACUAAUUGGUGUUGUUUCUCUGUUUCCCAAAUGUGUAAGCAGGGAUAAAGGGCAUGUUAUUGAUAUAAAGCAUAAGUGAGAUUUUGGCAAAGAUCGAGUUUUAUUUUCAGGGCCUAUUAGAAUCACAAAUCCAUGGAAACGGGGCAGUUGCCAACACAUUUUCUUUUAGUAAAAAAGAACUGCUUCUGAGUAAGGUGGAUUAUGUUUUCCAAUACCAUAAAUUUGCUAAAAAGUGUACUAGUAUAGUCUAAACAUUAAUUGUGCAUUUGUAAUGUCCUGGUUGCCAUCUCGUAAAUACAAAAUCAUUCUUGGAAAAAAAAAAA